AUGCGCAUCGUCUUUACCAUGUUGGAGUUUGUACUAAGGCCUUCCAGCUUUGAGCCUCAAGCCAUGCAAUCAUUAGAUUUUAAGUCCUGUUCCACUCAGGCCUUGUUUGAAGGUAAGAACUCAAGAAAGGAAAGUUCUUGCACUGAUUCUAAUACCGGAUCAGUCUGUGAUAUGGAAAAUCAAAGCAAGAACAAUUCCAUAAAUACCAAUGAUACUCAAAGUCGAAAACAUCAUCAUGAAAGAGUGUUCCUGAAGAAAUCUAGAAGAGGGUUUGUGCCCUAUAAAAGAUGUGUAUCUAAAGAGACGAAAAUUCUUUAA